GGAGUAUGAUAAAGGGUAUUUUGCAAAAAUAUUUAAGGUAAGAAUGAUUUUACCCGUACUUU
rnacentral:tRNA from 1 species